GGGGAAUAUUGCACAAUGGGGGAAACCCUGAUGCAGCCAUGCCGCGUGUGUGAAGAAGGCCUUCGGGUUGUAAAGCACUUUCAGCGAGGAGGAAAGGGUGUAAGUUAAUACCUUACAUCUGUGACGUUACUCGCAGAAGAAGCACCGGCUAACUCCGUGCCAGCAGCCGCGGUAAUACGGAGGGUGCGAGCGUUAAUCGGAAUUACUGGGCGUAAAGCGUGCGCAGGCGGUUUGUUAAGCGAGAUGUGAAAGCCCCGGGCUCAACCUGGGAACCGCAUUUCGAACUGGCAAACUAGAGUCUUGUAGAGGGGGGUAGAAUUCCAGGUGUAGCGGUGAAAUGCGUAGAGAUCUGGAGGAAUACCGGUGGCGAAGGCGGCCCCCUGGACAAAGACUGACGCUCAGGCACGAAAGCGUGGGGAGCAAACAG
rnacentral:rRNA from 1 species